UACGAAUGGGGCUAGCGUUGCUCGGAACUACUGGGCGUAAAGGGCGCGUAGGCGGAUAUCUAAGUCAGGGGUUAAAUCCCAGGGCUCAACCCUGGAACUGCCUUUGAUACUGGAUAUCUUGAGUACGGGAGAGGUGAGUGGAACUCCGAGUGUAGAGGUGAAAUUCGUAGAUAUUCGGAAGAACACCAGUGGCGAAGGCGACUCACUGGCCCGUUACUGACGCUGAGGCGCGAAAGCGUGGGGAG
rnacentral:rRNA from 1 species